UACAGAGGUGGCAAGCGUUGUUCGGAAUUACUGGGCGUAAAGGGCGCGUAGGCGGUGCACUAAGUCAGGCGUGAAAGCCCUGGGCUCAACCCGGGAAUUGCGCUUGAUACUGGUGCGCUUGAAUCCAGGAGAGGUUGGUGGAAUUCCCAGUGUAGAGGUGAAAUUCGUAGAGAUUGGGAAGAACACCGGUGGCGAAGGCGGCCAACUGGACUGGUAUUGACGCUGAUGUGCGAAAGCGUGGGGAGCAAACAGG
rnacentral:rRNA from 1 species